rnacentral:rRNA from 1 species
CAAAAACAUGUCUUUUUGAAAUUAAUCUAAAGUCUAAUCUGCCCACUGAUUUUUAAUUGAAGGGCCGCAGUAUUUUGACUGUGCAAAGGUAGCAUAAUCAUUUGUCUUUUAAUUGAAGGCUAGAAUGAAUGAUUGAAUGAAGUAUUAACUGUCUCAUAUUAAAAAAAAUAAAAAUUUAAUUUUUUAGUUAAAAAGCUGAAAUUUUAUUAAAAGACGAGAAGACCCUAUAGAUCUUUAUUAUUAUUAAUAUUUUCUUAAUUUGAUUAAUAAAUUUUAAUAUAUUAAUAAUAAUUUUGUUGGGGUGAUGGAAAAAUUUAAUUAACUUUUUUUAAAAAUUUUCAUUGAUUUAUGUUUAUUUGAUCCAAUAUUAUUGAUUAUAAGAUUAAGUUACCUUAGGGAUAACAGCGUAAUUUUUUUAGAGAGUUCAUAUCGAUAAAAAAGAUUGCGACCUCGAUGUUGAAUUAAAGAUUAUUUUUAAAUGUAGAAGUUUAAAGUUUAGGUCUGUUCGACCUUUGAAUCUUUACAUGAUCUGAG